UACGGGGGGAGCAAGCGUUGUUCGGAUUUACUGGGCGUAAAGGGCGCGUAGGCGGCCACCGCAAGUCAGUUGUGAAAUCUCCGGGCUUAACUCGGAAAGGUCAACUGAUACUGCGGGGCUAGAGUGCGGAAGGGGCAACUGGAAUUCUCGGUGUAGCGGUGAAAUGCGUAGAUAUCGAGAGGAACACCUGCGGCGAAGGCGGGUUGCUGGGCCGACACUGACGCUGAGGCGCGAAAGCUAGGGGAGCGAACGGGAUUAGAAACCCCCGUAGUCC
rnacentral:rRNA from 1 species